rnacentral:rRNA from 1 species
AACGAACGUUGGCGGUGUGGAUUAGGCAUGCAAGUCGCGCGCGAAACCCUUCGGGGGAGUAAAGCGGCGAACGGGUGAGUAACACGUAAUCAACCUGCCCUCGAGACCAGAAUAGCUACUGGAAACGGUAGGUAAUGCUGGAUGGUCCCACUGAGAGGCAUCUCCUGGUGGGUAAACGGUGGCGCAAGCUGCUGCUCGGGGAGGGGAUUGCGGCCUAUCAGCUAGUUGGUGAGGUAAUGGCUCACCAAGGCGAUGACGGGUAGCUGGUCUGAGAGGACGACCAGUCACACUGGGACUGAGAUACUGCCCAGACUCCUACGGGAGGCUGCAGUCGAGGAUCUUCCGCAAUGGGCGAAAGCCUGGACGGAGCGAACACCGCGUGCAGGAUGGAAGGCCCUUGGGUUGUAACUGUCUGUUCACCGCUCUACGGUAACUCCCCGUACGUCGUAAUAGUCGUAGGUUGACGUAAAGCGAGAGGAAGCACCGGCUACUCUGU